CCAGCAGCCGCGGUAAUUCCAGCUCCAAUAGCGUAUAUUAAAGUUGUUGCAGUUAAAAAGCUCGUAGUUGGAUUUGUGGUUUACGGUGUGUUCCAGGCACUUGUUGUCUGAGUUUCAUACCGUUGCCAUCCUUGGGUGGAACCUGUGUGGCAUUAGGUUGUCGUGCAGGGGAUGCCCAUCGUUUACUGUGAAAAAAUUAGAGUGUUCAAAGCAGGCUUAUGCCGUUGAAUAUAUUAGCAUGGAAUAAUAAGAUAGGACUUUUUCGCUAUUUUGUUGGUUUGCGCGAAGAGGUAAUGAUUAAUAGGGACAGUUGGGGGUAUUCGUAUUCCAUUGUCAGAGGUGAAAUUCUUGGAUUUUUGGAAGACGAACUA
rnacentral:rRNA from 1 species